rnacentral:lncRNA from 1 species
AGCGCUUUUCUGUUUAAAGUGUGAAAUGCUGAAGUUCUGCAUUGAAGGUGAAAGCACAUGAAUCAAGGAGAUGGCAGUGCUCUCUGGCAGACUUCAUUUGCAGAAAUUAUACCUGUUAUAUAUGUGUCAUAAGUCAAGUCUGGGAAAUGAGGGCUGGCAAGUGCACCUCCAGAGAUGUCAGCGUGAUCACUGUCGUUUGAGGCGUCUGCAAGGGAUGUGUGAUGGUGUGAUGAGAAUGAAAUCAAGGUAUUACAGUUAUUCUUUGCAGGGAGGAGCAGGGAGGGAAAAAAAAGCCAUCUUGUCCGCACCUGGAGUCUCCUCAUUUACUGUUACUGUAUUGGCUGGGUAUGAGUACCUCAAGCCCUACACACCCGACUGAGAACUUCCGUUUCUGUAACCCUUUUUACUGGAAAAUAGGAAAAUCUUCCCAGGUGAGCAUAUGCUUGAAUCCUAGCAAAUGCCUCCAUGUUAUUUCAUGGUGUAGCUAGCAUAAAGUCUAACCAGUCUUUUGGAAUUGAACUCAUAAGUGUAUUUUUAACCCUUUCACAUUUCUUUUUCAACUUUUUUUUUGGCGGGGGAGUACUCCCAUGGGAUGUGGAAGUUCCCAGGCCAGGGAUAAAACCCCGUACCCCAGCUGUGACAGUGCUAGGUCCUUUAACUACUAGGCCACCAGGAAACUCCUUAAAUUGAAAUUUUAAACCUG